rnacentral:rRNA from 1 species
GUCCACACUGUAAACGAUGAAUGCUAGGUGUAGGGGUAUCGACCCCUUCUGUGCCGGAGUAAACACAAUAAGCAUUCCGCCUGGGGAGUACGGCCGCAAGGUUGAAACUCAAAGGAAUUGACGGGGCCCGCACAAGCAGCGGAGCAUGUGGUUUAAUUCGACGCAACGCGAAGAACCUUACCAGGUCUUGACAUCCACUUAAAGCCAUAGAGAUAUGGUGUGAGCUUGCUCGAAGUGAGACAGGUGGUGCAUGGUUGUCGU